AUAUACAUGAUGACAAUAUAAAAUAUUGAUAAUAUUAUGAUAUUAUUACCACGAGCUUUUUAACACUGAAUGAC
rnacentral:snoRNA from 1 species